ACACGUUUCUCUGAUGUAGACAAAAGCAGCCACUGACGUUGAAGUUCAGGCCUCUGCAUUUUCAGAGCAAACAAAGCCUAAAGUAAUUUUUUCCAGAGCCGGGCAUGUCCUGGACUAGGAUUGAUUAGUCCUUCCUAGUUACCUGAAUUCCUCAGACAGUCAGGGUAGCGAAGGUGGACGUGAAAAGAAAGACAGGAGGAAUAACAGGAAAGAGCGUUCAAGAAAGAAGACACGAAAGGCUGUGGCCUCUGCUGGUUGCUGUCUAGGCAGCAGGUUAUUGAAACAAUGGCCCCCAAGAUAUUGGAAUUUCUCCAGGAAUCUCAUGCUGGAAGACGGGAAAGGUUGAAGCUUGGUACCAGCCAGGGAAGGAACUUGUCUCCUUGGAAAAGGUUUUAUGAAGUCCUGACAGCUUACCAGACCCUCUUGCAGGACUGACUGGGCCCCAGACAUUGAAGGGUCAGUGCAGGACUGAUUCCUUACAUAUAUCUCUUGCCUUCUAUUUGAAACCAAACCUCAUGUUAGUGUCAGUACCUUGAAGAUGGACACAGUCCUCAUGACAAGUCCAUCCCACUGUCAGUCCUCACGUCCUCACUGAUGAGCAUUACUGGCCUUAGGCAAAAGAGGAAGUAGAACCAGUUAAAAUAUAAGAUGAUAAAGUGAGAAUUAGUCACAAGCCAAAACCAGGCAAGGCAAUGUAGGAUGAUGCCUAUGCAAGCAGUGCCCUUCCAUAACUGACGAAGGACUGAGUCAGAUAAACAUCGAAGCAAAAGAAACUGUCCCUCCAAGAUCUCCAAGAACCCUUCGGAAGUCAGACUCAGAAGUUACCAUGAGGUUGUCAUCUCGCCAGUUGAUCAUCAGAUAUUUCUGGGCAGUGGCUAUGGCGUUCAGGGGCUGGCAUUGUAAUAAGGAAAGGGCUCGGUCCUGCGUCUAUGAGCAGCAGCAUGUUGUACCUCCAUGAAGAGAUGCUUGAAGAUAACGGUCUGUUAAGGACCAGAGAAACUGAGCAUGCUUGGGAGACGGACAAGAAGAAAGCUUGCUUCCUUAUUGUUUCCAACAAUUUAUUACAGUCCAUUCUGCAAACAAGCCAGAGGGACUGAAACCAAGGACUCAGGCUGCUUUUGAUAAAAAGUGCUCUUUACUUGGUCCAAAGGUGUCUGAUGGGUGACUAAAAAGCUGGGCCUCUCUGUCUUUAUUCCCAUGUGUGUGCUUGGUUGGCUUGAACUUUAGAGUCCUGCUUGACUCUUCACUAGGAUGUAUCUAAUCUAAACAUGGCAAUCCUCCCCUCCCUACCCCCUGAUUCCAGCCUAAGGCUGUUAGCACAUUCAGUAGAUUAUCAACCUUUGGUGUUGAAGCCUUCUUCCAGAUUAGUGGAAGCUGCCAGGCAUUGACCUUAAUCAGAAAGCCUUUCUGACUCCAUCUUGCCUGUCUGACGUCUUGCUGGUUGGUCUGGGUUGUCCCUUCUCUGAGUCAUUCUUUCCUGUAGUUAUCUUACAUUCCAGGAACAACAGUAAACGUCUUGUGAUGGGAGGAAACUGUCCCCAGGCAGCAGCUACUGGCUUAUUGCGGACGAGACUGGAGUCUCAGCAGAACCAUCCUGAGAUAAGGACGAACCAGCCCACAGUUUGAAGGACGGCUUGGCACUGCAGGCUUUCCUAACCACAAGACUGUUCCCCUCCUCAGAAGCCUGACUUCUUAUCAGCACGCUGAAGAAGGCAGCAAGAACUCUCUGUCCUCAUGUCCCUCCCUAGGAUGACUACACUGAAUACGAGCCCUUCUUGCUUCACUGGGGCUGCUUAUCAUUUGGUUAGAUGAGUUGCAGUUAGUAACUGAGCCUGGUCCACAUGUUGAACCCUCAGAACCAGGCUUCUGGCCUAGGGAUCCAAUAGCAAGACUCACACCUUGAAGAUGACAUGACAGGGCCUCGUGUGUUGAUGCAUGCCCCAAAUCUCAGCACUGUGGAGGCUGAUGCAGGACGAGUCUGAGUUCCAGGUCAGCUUGCGAUACAUAGAGGGAUCCUGUCAUAUUUUAUUAUUAUUAAUUUUAUCUUUUUAUGUCAUCUGUAUUUAUUUUAAAGCAGAAUGGGAUUGGGCACUAUAUUUUCAUUCACAAGCCUUGCUGAGUUACAUGACUAGGGAAGCUCGGAGUUUUGUUCUCAGUACUUUGAAAACAAGCCACAUGGGGAAUUCCUCAGGUGUUUUAGCUUGAGUGUUUACUUUUAAGACUAGUACAUGCAGAACUAACUACAGGGAAUGAAAAUUCUUAAGA